rnacentral:rRNA from 1 species
AACGUAGGUGGCGAGCGUUAUCCGGAUUUACUGGGCGUAAAGCGUGUGCAGGCGGGGCCUCAAGUGGUGUAUGAAAUCGCUCGGCUUAACCGGGCGCGGUUAUGCCAGACUGAGGUUCUGGAGUGCGGGAGAGGGGCGUGGAAUUCCGGGUGUAGUGGUGAAAUGCGUAGAGAUCCGGAGGAACCCCAGAGGCGAAGGCGGCGCCCUGGCCCGACACUGACGCUCAGACACGACAGCAUGGGGAGCGAACGGG